GACGAACGCUAGCGGCGUGCUUAACACAUGCAAGUCGAACGGUGAAGUAGAGCUUGCUCUAUGGAUCAGUGGCGCACGGGUGAGUAACACGUGGGCAACCUGCCCCAGACUCUGGGAUAACUCCUCGAAAGAGGGGCUAAUACCGGAUAUUUGCAUUGCAAGACAUCUUGUGAUGCAGAAAGAAUUUCGGUCUGGGAUGGGCCCGCGGCCUAUCAGCUUGUUGGUGAGGUAACGGCUCACCAAGGCGACGACGGGUAGCCGGCCUGAGAGGGCGACCGGCCACACUGGGACUGAGACACGGCCCAGACUCCUACGGGGGGCAGCAGUGGGGAAUAUUGGGCAAUGGGCGCAAGCCUGACCCAGCAACGCCGCGUGAGGGAUGAAGGUCCUCGGAUUGUAAACCUCUUUCAGCAGGGACGAAGCGAAAGUGACGGUACCUGCAGAAGAAGCACCGGCUAACUACGUGCCAGCCGCCGCGGUAA
rnacentral:rRNA from 1 species